rnacentral:rRNA from 1 species
GAUGAACGCUGGCGGCGUGCCUAAUACAUGCAAGUCGAGCGAACAGACGAGGAGCUUGCUCCUCUGACGUUAGCGGCGGACGGGUGAGUAACACGUGGAUAACCUACCUAUAAGACUGGGAUAACUUCGGGAAACCGGAGCUAAUACCGGAUAAUAUGUUGAACCGCAUGGUUCAACAGUGAAAGACGGUCUUGCUGUCACUUAUAGAUGGAUCCGCGCCGCAUUAGCUAGUUGGUAAGGUAACGGCUUACCAAGGCAACGAUGCGUAGCCGACCUGAGAGGGUGAUCGGCCACACUGGAACUGAGACACGGUCCAGACUCCUACGGGAGGCAGCAGUAGGGAAUCUUCCGCAAUGGGCGAAAGCCUGACGGAGCAACGCCGCGUGAGUGAAGAAGGUCUUCGGAUCGUAAAACUCUGUUAUUAGGGAAGAACAAAUGUGUAAGUAACUAUGCACGUCCUGACGGUACCUAAUCAGAAAGCCACGGCUAACUACGUG